rnacentral:rRNA from 1 species
GACGAACGCUGGCGGCGUGCUUAACACAUGCAAGUCGAACGGAAAGGCCCUGCUUUUGUGGGGUGCUCGAGUGGCGAACGGGUGAGUAACACGUGAGUAACCUGCCCUUGACUUUGGGAUAACUUCAGGAAACUGGGGCUAAUACCGGAUAGGAGCUCCUGCUGCAUGGUGGGGGUUGGAAAGUUUCGGCGGUUGGGGCUGGACUCGCGGCUUAUCAGCUUGUUGGUGGGGUAGUGGCUUACCAAGGCUUUGACGGGUAGCCGGCCUGAGAGGGUGACCGGCCACAUUGGGACUAAGAUACGGCCCAGACUCCUACGGGAGGCAGCAGUGGGGAAUAUUGCACAAUGGGCGGAAGCCUGAUGCAGCAACGCCGCGUGCGGGAUGACGGCCUUCGGGUUGUAAACCGCUUUCGCCUGUGACGAAGCGUGAGUGAGGGUAAUGGGUAAAGAAGCACCGGCUAACUACGUG